CCAGUGGCUAAAGGAAGGGAAAAUCUGAUUUGCCUGCACUAGCUUUGCAUUUGAAAUGAGGAGAAGAGUGGAGGGCUGGUUCGGUCGGCCCCACCCCUGGCCCCGGCCCUGCCCCAACUCCCAGGCCCCUCCGGACGGCCUAGGCAGUCCCGGGCUCCGGCGUGGGCCCCGCCCGAAGCUGAACGAGGCUGGCCGCCCCGCCCGCAGCGGAGGACCCGGCCCGCAGCAAGUAAGUCACGCGGGCUCCGGCCGGCGAGCUGGGCCGGGCGGCGGACCCCAACUCCCCGGGGUGUACUUGGCCGCAUGCUCUUCAUUGUGUAACUGCUCUACUGCAGCCACCCGGCACGGCCAUCCGCACUUCCUCCGGCCCCCGUCUGUGGCCUCUGUCGGGGCCCGUCUGGAGCAGCAGGGACCCGGGAGAAGGAGGGCGGGGGCUUCGGGCUCCCUGCCUGGCCCCACCUUGUCCUCAGAGAACAUGUUAGCUGUGCACUUUGACAAGCCGGGAGGACCAGAAAACCUCUCCGUGAAGGAGGUGGCCAAGCCAAGCCCAGGAGCGGGUGAAGUCCUCCUGAAGGUGGCGGCCAGCGCCCUGAACCGGGCAGACUUACUCCAGAGACAAGGCCAGUAUGCUCCACCCUCGGGAGCUAGCAGCGUUCUGGGACUCGAAGCAUCUGGAUACAUUGCAGAACUGGGGCCCGGCUGCCAGGGGCAGUGGAAGAUUGGGGACCCAGCCAUGGUUCUGCUGCCUGGAGGGGGCCAGGCUCAGUAUGUCACAGUCCCUGAAGGGCUCCUUAUGCCCAUCCCGGCAGGACUGACCCUGCUCCAGGCUGCAGCCAUCCCAGAGGCCUGGCUCACUGCCUUCCAGCUGUUACAUCUCUUGGGAAACAUUCAGGCUGGAGACUCUGUGCUAAUCCAUGCAGGAGCAAGUGGUGUGGGCACAGCUGCCAUCCAACUUGCACGAAUGGCUGGAGCUAUUCCUCUAGUCACGGCUGGCUCCCAGCACAAGCUUCAAGUGGCAGAAAAGCUCGGAGCAGCUGCUGGAUUCAAUUACAAAGAAGAGGAUUUUUCUGAAGCAACAUUGAAAUUCACCAAAGGUGCUGGAGUCAAUCUUAUUCUAGACUGCAUAGGUGGAUCCUUCUGGGAGAAAAAUGUCAAGUGCCUAGCUCUUGAUGGUCGCUGGGUUCUCUAUGGUUUGAUGGGAGGAGCUGACAUCAAUGGGCCUCUGUUUUCAAAGCUGCUUUUUAAACGAGGAAAUCUGAUCACCAGUCUGCUGCGAUCCAGGGACAAAAAGUACAAGCAAAUGCUGGUGAAGGCUUUCACAGAACAAAUUCUGCCCCGCUUCUCCACGGAGGGCCCCCAACGUCUCCUGCCUGUUUUGGACAGAGUCUACCCUGUGACUGAAAUCCAAGAGGCCCAUGCAUACAUGGAGGCUAACAAGAACGUGGGCAAAAUCGUCCUGGAGCUACCGCAAUGAAGGAGGGAGCAACACAGAAUGCGGAUACCUCUGGCCUUCCCAGAACAAACUUGGAGAAAAUUCACAGCAUGCAGGAAAGAGACCGGGAGCUACUGCAGACCCCCCUGUAACCCAUUGGUCCUCCCGGGCCUCGUGAACAGAUCUAUAUAAACCUGGGCUAAGAAAAUAAAAAGAGCGGAUUUGAAGGGCGGCGGGAUCACUGUGGGCGACCCCAGCGCGUGCACCGAGGCCACCAGGGCUGGGCGGAGUCUUUUCGAGAGGGAAUACGUCAGCACGUCUCGGCGUAAGAAGGAGAUGUUCCGGCGUGCCAUAAAGCUUCCGGCGGAGCCUGGGAGGUGGUGUCCUGCGUCUGACGCCGUGU